AUUUUGGACAAUGUGCGCAAGCCUGAUCCAGCCAUGUCGCGUGAGUGAAGAAGGCCUUCGGGUUGUAAAGCUAUUUCUGACGGAAAGAAAUAGCGCAGGAUAAAACCAUGCGCGGAUGACGGUACCUUCAUAAAAAGCAUCGGCUAACUACGUCCCAGCAUCCGCGGGAAUACGUAGGGUUCGAUCGUUAAUCGGAAUUAUUGGGCGUAAAGCGUGCGCAGGCGUUUGAUUAAUACAGGCGUGAAAUCCCCGGGCUUAACCUGGGAACUGCGCUUGUGACCGGUCAGCUAGAGUACGGCAGAGGGGGGUGGAAUUCCACGUGUAGCAGUGAAAUGCGUAGAGAUGUGGAGGAACACCGAUGGCGAAGGCAGCCCCCUGGGCCGAUACUGACGCUCAUGCACGAAAGCGUGGGUAGCAAACAGG
rnacentral:rRNA from 1 species